rnacentral:misc_RNA from 1 species
GAUGAAGAACGCAGUGAAAUGCGAUAAGUAAUGUGAAUUGCAGAAUUCAGUGAAUCAUCGAAUCUUUGAACGCACAUUGCGCCCGCUAGUAUUCUGGCGGGCAUGCCUGUCCGAGCGUCAUUUCAACCAUCAAGCCCUAGGCUUGCGUUGGAGCCCUGCGGCUGCCGCAGGCCCCUAAAAGCAGUGGCGGGCUCGCUAUCACACCGAGUGCAGUAGAUUACUCUUCGCUCAGGGCGUGUGGCGGGUUCCAGCCGUGAAACCCCCUACUUCUCAAGGUUGACCUCGGAUCAGGUAGGAAUACCCGCUGAACUUAAGCAUAUCAAUAAGCGGAGGA